rnacentral:rRNA from 1 species
UACGAAGGGGGCUAGCAUUGCUCGGAAUCACUGGGCGUAAAGGGCGCGUAGGUGGCCAGUUCAAGUCGGGGGUGGAAAGCCUGUGGCUCAACCACAGAAUUGCCUUCGAUACUGUUUGGCUUGAGUAUAGUAGAGGUCAGUGGAACUGCGAGUGUAGAGGUGAAAUUCGUAGAUAUUCGCAAGAACACCAGUGGCGAAGGCGGCUGACUGGACCAUUACUGACGCUGAGGCGCGAAAGCGUGGGGAGCAAACAGG